UGAUUUGAUUUUAGCUGCUGACUCAGGUAAGCCUGCCAUCCUGAUGCUUUUAGAUUUGUCAGCUGCCUCUGACACAGUGGACAAUGCGAUUCUGCUGUGUCGUCUUGAGCAGUGUGUGGGCAUUACAGGCUCUGCUCUCACCUGGUUCAGUUCUUACCUCAUAAAACAGUAUUUCUG